UACCUGCAGCUCGAGUGGUAACCGCUAUUAUUGGGCCUAAAGCGUCCGUAGCCGGUUUGGUAAAUAUCUGGGUAAAUCGUGAGGCUUAACUUCACGAAUUUCGGAUAGACUGCCAGACUUGGGAUCGGGGGAGGUCAGAGGUACUCCAGGGGUAGCGGUGAAAUGUUGUAAUCCUUGGAGGACCACCGGUAGCGAAGGCGUCUGACUAGAACGAGUCCGACGGUGAGGGACGAAGCCCUGGGGCGCAAACCGGAUUAGAUACCCGGGUAGUCCAGGGUGUAAACAAUGUGGGCUUUGUAUUGGAGAUCCCACGUGGGUGUCCAGUGCAGAAGAGAAGUUGUUAAGCCCACCGCCUGGGAAGUACGGUCGCAAGGCUGAAACUUAAAGGAAUCGGCGGGGGAGCACAGCAACGGGAGGAGCGUGCGGUUU
rnacentral:rRNA from 1 species